rnacentral:rRNA from 1 species
UACAGAGGGGGCAAGCGUUGUUCGGAAUUACUGGGCGUAAAGCGUGCGCAGGCGGCUAUGCAAGACAGAUGUGAAAUCCCCGGGCUCAACCUGGGAACUGCAUUUGUGACUGCAUGGCUAGAGUACGGUAGAGGGGGAUGGAAUUCCGCGUGUAGCAGUGAAAUGCGUAGAUAUGCGGAGGAACACCGAUGGCGAAGGCAAUCCCCUGGACCUGUACUGACGCUCAUGCACAAAAGCGUGGGGAGCAAACAGG